rnacentral:rRNA from 1 species
AUUGAACGCUGGCGGCAUGCCUUACACAUGCAAGUCGAACGGUAACAGGUCUUCGGAUGCUGACGAGUGGCGAACGGGUGAGUAAUACAUCGGAACGUGCCCGAGAGUGGGGGAUAACGAAGCGAAAGCCUUGCUAAUACCGCAUACGAUCUACGGAUGAAAGCAGGGGACCGCAAGGCCUUGCGCUCACGGAGCGGCCGAUGGCAGAUUAGGUAGUUGGUGGGAUAAAAGCUUACCAAGCCGACGAUCUGUAGCUGGUCUGAGAGGACGACCAGCCACACUGGGACUGAGACACGGCCCAGACUCCUACGGGAGGCAGCAGUGGGGAAUUUUGGACAAUGGGCGCAAGCCUGAUCCAGCCAUGCCGCGUGCGGGAUGAAGGCCUUCGGGUUGUAAACUGCUUUUGUACGGAACGAAAAGACUCUGGUUAAUACCUGGGGUCCAUGACGGUACCGUAAGAAUAAGCACCGGCUAACUACGUGCCAGCAGCCGCAGUAA